UUGUGCGGUUCGAUCACCAUUCGA
rnacentral:siRNA from 1 species